AUUUAAGUAGCUUAAAAAAAGCAUUUUAUUGAAGCUAAAAAGAUAAAUUUGUAUUUCUUAAAUA
rnacentral:tRNA from 1 species